rnacentral:rRNA from 1 species
GAUGAAGGCCUUCGGGUUGUAAACUGCUUUUGUACGGAACGAAAACGCUGUCCACUAAUACUGCGGGCUCAUGACGGUACCGUAAGAAUAAGCACCGGCUAACUACGUGCCAGCAGCCGCGGUAAUACGUACGGUGCUUAGUCGUUAAUCGGAAUUACUGGGCGUAAAGCGUGCGCAGGCGGUUAUGCAAGACAGAUGUGAAAUCCCCGGGCUUAACCUGGGAACUGCAUUUGUGACUGCAUAGCUAGAGUACAGGUAGAGGGGGAUGGAAUUCCACGUGUAGCAGUGAAAUGCGUAGAUAUGCGGAGGAACACCGAUGGCGAAUGCAAUCCCCUGGUACCUGUACUGACGCUCAUGCACGAANGCGUGGGGAGCNAACAGGAUUACAUACCCUGNUAGUCCACNCCUAAAC